AGCUCUUGCUCCUUCGCCUGCUUGCUGUGUGAGACUGAGUAACUGCUAGAUCCUUGGACUUCCAUUCACAGCUGCGACUGAACCAUUAUUGGGAAUUGGGCUGUCGACUGUGAUUCAGUGCACAAAGCUUUCUACAAGAUGGGGAAAAAUCAGAAAAUGAUUUUACUGGCUGGCUGCUCUUAGUAUCUGGGGAGAAAAUGAAGAAUGAAAGGAAGGAGUUGUGUGAUAAAAUCGAAAGGCUCCAGACACAAGUAAACCAUCUAAAAGUUGCUAAGUGUGUCCUUGAAGAGAAUCUUCUCUCUUGCAGCAAUAGAGCUCAAGUUGCAGAAAAUCAAACUGAAUUGGUCAGUCUAAAUUCUUU